UACGUAGGGUGCGAGCGUUAAUCGGAAUGACUGGGCGUAAAGGGCGCGUAGGCGGCCUGGUUAGUUAGGUGUGAAAUUCCUGGGCUUAACCUGGGGACUGCACUUAAUACAGCCAAGCUUGAGUGUGGAAGAGGGUCGUGGAACUCCCAGUGUAGAGGUGAAAUUCGUAGAUAUUGGGAAGAACACCGGUGGCGAAGGCGGCGACCUGGUCCAUUACUGACGCUGAGGCGCGAAAGCGUGGGGAGCAAACAGG
rnacentral:rRNA from 1 species